GCUGAAGUGGUCUCGGUGACCAUAGUGUCCCUUUAAGGGUGAAAAAAAAUACUUGUAUUAAUGCUAACACUGCAUUUAUUUUCAAACAUGUUCAGGAAACUUAGUAGAUAGUAAUCCAUAAAACCACCUUAGCAUUUUCCAUAAACUAUUCAAAUAUUGAUGGAGAAUAGGCAUAAAAUGGAACCCAGUUUAAUUAAGAAG